rnacentral:rRNA from 1 species
GAUGAACGCUGGCGGCGUGCCUAAUACAUGCAAGUCGAGCGGAAAGGCCUCUUCGGAGGUACUCGAGCGGCGGACGGCUGAGUAACGCGUAGGAACGUACCCCAAACUGAGGGAUAACUGCUCGAAAGAGUAGCUAAUACCGCAUGUGCUCUACGGAGUAAAGCUUCGGCGGUUUGGGAACGGCCUGCGUAAGGUUAGAUUGUUGGUAAGGUAAUGGCUUACCAAGGCGACGAUCUUUAGCUGGUCUGAGAGGAUGAUCAGCCAGACUGGGACUGAGACACGGCCCAGACUCCUACGGGAGGCAGCAGUAGGGAAUUUUCCACAAUGGGCGAAAGCCUGAUGGAGCAACGCCGCGUGCAGGAUGAAUGCCUUCGGGUUGUAAACUGCUUUUAUAAGUGAAGAAUAUGACGGUAACUUAUGAAUAAGGAUCGGCUAACUCCGUGCCAGCCGCCGCGGUAA